rnacentral:tRNA from 1 species
GCGCAAAGCCUCGGCUUGCUAAGCCGAAGGUCCCGGGUUCGAUUCCCGUUGGGCCCC